AGUGGAAAUCUCAUGAGGUUGAAAAGGUGGAAAUGAUGGUGGUUUAAAGAUGAUAGGUCAAUAUUAAUGGAGGAAAAUGUGUUAACACGAGGGGAGUUCAUGCCAAUGAGAGCACCAUUUGUUGGGAAUGUUGUUUGCGGAUGCUAAAGUGAAAUAAAAGCAAUUAUCAAAACAUGUUAAAUUAUCUAAACUAACUUUUUCAUUUACUUCCUUCAUGAAAAUUAUAUUCAUCAAUCACAUAUUAUAACAUUGACAUCAUUCAAUUACUUACUAUUCUUCUAAAGA
rnacentral:lncRNA from 1 species